GUUGUCAAGACAGUGUGUAUGUGUGUUGGGGGUAAGCAAUAACAAUGGUCACAAACAAGUGCAGCAGAGAGACAGAAAUGAAAACUGGUCAUAUAAAGCGGUAGCAGUGUGAAUGUGUGCUCAUGUGUGAAGGUGCGAUAGUGUGAACACAGAGUGAUUACAUAGAGUGUGUGCAAAUGGAGGAAUACAUUAUGUGUAUACAUAUUUCUUGUUCUUCUUAUGUGUAGGGUUCUAAUGCUGUGAUCUGAUUUGACGGGAGGCAAUCCAAGAGUGGUGAUACAGUAUAGAGCAUAACAGCACUGGGAUGUAUACCAUCACCUGGUCGCAGGGGGCCUGGAGCGUGUCCCAGGGGACAUAGGGCACAAGGCGGGGUACACCCUGGAUGAGACUGUUGGAGGAAACCGAUUAACCAGAGGAAACUAACCAAGUAUGGGGAAAACAUGCAAAACUCCAUGGACACAAACCUGAAACAGGAAAUGAACCCGGAACCUGGAGGUGCAAAGCGACAAUACUAACCAAUACCGUGCCAUCUUAAUGAACAACCGGAGCCUGAUGAAAGACACUAAUAUCCAAUGACGUGAGUUAAGAAACACCGGCCUUCAAAAUAAAACUCCUUGAUUACCAAUUACUCUCACUCAUGUUGCACCUGUGCAAAAUCAAUUGGAGGAACACUUCAGUCGUGUCAAAGUAUGAAAAAGGCCUCAGGCAACUUAUACAGGUGUUAAGCAGGAGGAUGAAGCAGCCUGUUAUCGCAGCAAUCUGGGUUUUUAGAGAAGAGAAUUGGUAAGUAACAACUUGAGAAAUUAUAUAAUACUGUCUACAGUAAUUGCAGUACACACACAUAACUUGCUUUCCAAGGAUAUCUAUGGAAAUGUACCCUACCCUACAGGCCAAUGUUUUGUCUUAAGUUUAUGUAGAUAUACGUUAAAAUGGAUAAUUUGUUUUUUUUAACAAAACGGAAAAAUGGAAAACAGACCUUUAUACAUUUAGUUGGUUUCGAAAAUAAAGCCAUCACUCUGAGGGAAAUGGAAGUCCUGGAAGACAGUGUCCAUUUCAAAAACCUUGACCAGGUCAGCCUGUCCACACCCGACUGUGUCUUGAAUCAACCCAAACCGAAGAUAAAAUGGGUACAUCGUGUUCCAUUUGAACGCAAUUCUGAGCAGGUGAAUGAGCACCAAUACCAAUAUCUUCAUGUGAGUAUAGACAUGUCACGAGGUACCUCAGUGUUCCUGUAUGUAGGCCUUUUUCCAGAAAGUGCUUGAGCUGGUUGCCAGUGUCGUUCCUUGUAAAUAUAUGUUCAUUGAGAAGGCAGGAUUGCAGAAGACUAAGUGGCAAAGGUGAAACAUCAUAUUCAAUCAUCCCGUUAAAUGGGAAUUGAAUGUCAAAAUGGUCACCAUGUUUGCUGUUAUUGGUCAGCCUGGGGUCAUACAUCACAAUGCACAACUUGGUCCGUAACAUUUAAUGUUUCUUAAUGAACUCAAAAAUAUCCUCAAUCUCCCACAGGAAGAGGAACCAGAGCAGCCCACCUACAAGGUAAUUUGUGAUAAUAUUAGUUUCCCCAGGGCCGCUCUGAUCCAUGUCUGGUUCGCCCACAACCCACUCUGUCCCUUCCACCAUAUUCCCUAUUUGCUAAUCCAAUACAAGAAUUCUUUUCAGCAUAGCGGUGGAUAGUGUACAAUGAGUGUGUGGCACUACUCCAGGCAAUGGAGGAUGCAUGUGAGGCCAUCAACACGAAUGAAUGCCAACCAAAGAUCUGCCAUGCCGAGCGUUUUUCAUCCGCUGCUUGGCUAGGGAGAUCAUCACAGCCGAUGUGGAUGAGAACUUCUGGCCUGACCAGGAUCAGAUGUGGGAUGCAGAGGGAUCUUUUUCUUUGCAUUUGCAAUUUCUUUUGUCGGUACAGAUUAACAGUUUGUACUACUGUACAAUAAAGAAUAUUUAUUUUGUAUUGAUUUUCUCUGCAAUGUUUUUCAUCGAACUGCCAUAGAUGAAAUCACUGAGUUGUGAUUCAUAAGACGUUAUAUUUAAAAAGAUUUGGGUUGAAUAUUCAUGUAGUACUGAACAUGCUA